CCAAAUAAUGGAUGUUAUGAUCGUUCAUCUGUACGUGGGCACUUAGAUGAUCAGGAGCAAGUAGUGCAACCGACCAAAUUUUGU
rnacentral:ncRNA from 2 species